GUAACGAGCGCAACCCCUAUCCUUAUUUGCCAGCGAGUAAUGUCGGGAACUCUAAGGAGACUGCCGGUGACAAACCGGAGGAAGGUGGGGACGACGUCAAGUCAUCAUGGCCCUUACGAGUAGGGCUACACACGUGCUACAAUGGCCGGUACAACAGGUUGCUAACCCGCGAGGGGGCGCUAAUCCGCAAAAACCGGUCGUAGUCCGGAUCGCAGUCUGCAACUCGACUGCGUGAAGUCGGAAUCGCUAGUAAUCGCGAAUCAGAAUGUCGCGGUGAAUACGUUCCCGGGCUUUGUACACACCGCCCGUCACACCAUGGGAGUGGGUUGCACCAGAAGUAGCUAGUCUAACUUUCGGGAGGACGGUUACCACGGUGUGAUUCAUGACUGGGGU
rnacentral:rRNA from 1 species